rnacentral:rRNA from 1 species
AGCAGCCGCGGUAAUUCCAGCUCCAAUAGCGUAUAUUAAAGUUGUUGCAGUUAAAAAGCUCGUAGUUGAAUUUCGGGAUCAAUUUAUUGGUCGUGCUAUUGUACGUACUGGUAUUAUUGAUUCCUACCUUCUGACGAACCAUGAUGUCAUUAAUUUGGUGUCAUGGGGAAUCAGGACUGUUACUUUGAAAAAAUUAGAGUGUUUAAAGCAGGCUCACGCUUGAAUACAUUAGCAUGGAAUAACGAAAUAGGACGUUUGAUUCUAUUUUGUUGGUUUCUAGGAUCGACGUAAUGAUUAAUAGGGAUAGUUGGGGGCAUUAGUAUUCAAUUGUCAGAGGUGAAAUUCUUGGAUUUAUUGAAGACUAACUACUGCAAAAGCAUUUGCCAAGGAUGUUUUCAUUAAUCAAGACGAAAGUUAGGGGAUCGAAGACGAUCAGAUACCGUCGUAGUCUUAACCAUAAACUAUGCCGACUAGGGAUCGGAUGAUGUUAAUUUUUUAAUGACUCAUUCGGC